rnacentral:rRNA from 1 species
UUGGCGGACGGGUGAGUAACGCGUGGAAAACCUGCCGUAUACUGGGGGAUAACACUUAGAAAUAGGUGCUAAUACCGCAUAAGCGCACAGCUUCGCAUGAAGCGGUGUGAAAAACUCUGGUGGUAUACGAUGGUUCCGCGUCUGAUUAGCUAGUUGGUGGGGUAAUGGCCUACCAAGGCAACGAUCAGUAGCCGGCCUGAGAGGGUGAACGGCCACACUGGGACUGAGACACGGCCCAAACUCCUACGGGAGGCAGCAG